rnacentral:rRNA from 1 species
UACGGAGGAUGCGAGCGUUAUCCGGAUUUAUUGGGUUUAAAGGGUGCGUAGGCGGGCUUUUAAGUCAGCGGUAAAAAUUCGGGGCUCAACCCCGUCCGGCCGUUGAAACUGGGGCCUUGAGUGGGCGAGAAGAAGGCGGAAUGCGUGGUGUAGCGGUGAAAUGCAUAGAUAUCACGCAGAACCCCGAUUGCGAAGGCAGCCUUCCGGCGCCCUACUGACGCUGAGGCACGAAAGUGCGGGGAUCGAACAGG